GAUGAACGCUGGCGGCGUGCCUAAUACAUGCAAGUCGAGCGAACAGAUGAGGAGCUUGCUCCUCUGACGUUAGCGGCGGACGGGUGAGUAACACGUGGAUAACCUACCUAUAAGACUGGGAUAACUUCGGGAAACCGGAGCUAAUACCGGAUAAUAUAUUGAACCGCAUGGUUCAAUAGUGAAAGACGGUUUUGCUGUCACUUAUAGAUGGAUCCGCGCCGCAUUAGCUAGUUGGUAAGGUAACGGCUUGCCAAGGCAACGAUGCGUAGCCGACCUGAGAGGGUGAUCGGCCACACUGGAACUGAGACACGGUCCAGACUCCUACGGGAGGCAGCAGUAGGGAAUCUUCCGCAAUGGGCGAAAGCCUGACGGAGCAACGCCGCGUGAGUGAUGAAGGUCUUCGGAUCGUAAAACUCUGUUAUUAGGGAAGAACAAAUGUGUAAGUAACUAUGCACGUCUUGACGGCACCUAAUCAGAAAGCCACGGCUAACUACGUG
rnacentral:rRNA from 1 species